rnacentral:lncRNA from 1 species
AGCCUUUAUAGCAAGUUCUCUUCACCCAGGACUGGCCCAGGCCCUAGCACUGGCAUGAACUGUUGUGUUCAUGACGUGUAAGCACCCUGACUUCCAUCUGCAUUGAGCACAGGCCCCAGCAGUGCAUGGCGACCGCUCGGGGGUCGCGUAACUAGUUAGCAUGCCAGAGUCUCGUUCGUUAUCGGAAUUAACCAGACAAAUCGCUCCACCAACUAAGAACGGCCAUGCACCACCACCCACGGAAUCGAGAAAGAGCUAUCAAUCUGUCAAUCCUGUCCGUGUCCGGGCCGGGUGAGGUUUCCCGUGUUGAGUCAAUUCCUUUAAGUUUCAGCUUUGCAACCAUACUCCCCCCGGAACCCAAAGACUUUGGUUUCCCGGAAGCUGCCCGGCGGGUCAUGGGAAUAACGCCGCCGCAUCGCCAGUCGGCAUCCAAGGUGAAGGGGCAUCUGAUGCACAGAAGUGAAGCUGCUCCUGGGAGCGAGGCGGGAAUAGCCACACUUUCUGCUUCGACGAGCAGGCGCUGCACCAAGCAGUGCAAACGACAACAUUGUACAGUUCAAAUGAGGAGCCUGGGGCCCCAAGAACUUACAGGUCCUGCUCAGAGUCACAGAACUGAUGGCCUCAGACUCAAGUCACGUAUUAGCUAGGUGACCUUGGACAAGUUCUUGUCUCCAGGCCUCUCUUCCCUCACUUACAGAAUGAAAUUAAUAUUGUUGUUCAGUUGCUAAGUUGUAUGUGACUCUCUGUGACCUCAUGAACUGCAGUACACCAGGCUUCCCUGGCCUCCACUGUCUCCUGGAGUUUGCUCAAACUCAUGUCCAUUGAGUUGGUGAUGCUAUCUAACCUUCUCAUUCUCUACUUCUCCCUUCUCCUUUUGCCACCAGUCUUUCCAACCCAGGGUCUUUUCCAAUGAAUUGGCUCUUUGCAUCAGGGGACCAGAGUAUUGCAGCUUCAGCUUCAGCAUCAGUCUUUCCAAUGAGUAUUCAGGGUUGAUUUCCUUUAGGAUGGACUGGUUUGAUCUCUUUGCAGUCCAAGGGAUUCUCAAGAGUCUUCUCCAGCACCACCGUUCAAAAGCAUCAAUUCUUCGGCACUCAGCCUUCUUUAUGGUCCAACUCUCCCAUCGUACAUGACUACUGGAAGACCAUAGCUUUGACUGGACAGACCUUUGUUAGCAAAGUGAUGUCUGCUUUUUAAUAUGCUUUCUAGAUUUGUCAUAGCUUUCCUUUCAAAGAGCAAGUGUCUUUUAAUUUCAUGGCUGCAGUCACCAUCCUCAGUGAUUUUGGAGUCCAAGAUAAAUCUAAUUAAUAUGCCUUUGCAAAGAUUCAAUGAUACAGUGUAACAAUGAAAAGAAAUGCAGUGUAUAAAGUGCUUAUAACAUAAAAGGCACGGUCACUGAUGGCUGACCUUAUACUACUAAUAAUUACUCCCUUUAUUCCAUGCUUCUGUGAGGGGCAGUUGGGGAAGGAGGCAUUAUAGGAGUACUAUGAGAUAUAAUCCUCCGAUUGGGACUUCCCUGGUGGUUCAAUGGUUAAGACUCUGUGCUUUCAAUGCAGGGGCAUGGGUUUAAUCCCUGAUCGGGAAUCAAGAUCCCGUAGAUUGUUUGGCCUGGCCAAAAAAUCCCG